rnacentral:SRP_RNA from 1 species
CGCACUAGGCGGGGAGUUAGCGGUGCCCUGUACUCGCAAUCCGCUAUAGCGAGGCUGAAUUCCUGUGUGAGAUUUGCAUUUUGUAAAGGCGAGACGUCUGUAAGUGGUGUUGACGAAUGGGUCCUGUGCAAUGUAGGGCUGUGAACCCUGUCAGGUCCUGACGGAAGCAGCAGUAAGCGGUUUUCUAUGUGUGCCGCAGGUUUGCCUGUUCAGAGCUGGCUGCAGAAGAG